rnacentral:snRNA from 1 species
AUGCUCACUUCAGCAGCAAAACUGGAAUAGAGAAGAUUAGCACAUCCCCCGAACAAAAAUGACCUGCAAAUUCAUGAAACAUUUGAUAUUUUU